UGAGUUCAAGAAGAGGCUGUCAAUUUAUUGGCAUGACACGGUUACUGAAGCUGAGAGCAAACCACAGAAAGAAGGAGGCGCAAUGCGUAUCCGUUUUCUUUAUGGUGGAACGAAUUACAGAAGGAUGAUCGAACCGCUUCACAUUGCUGAGUACUACAGGGAAGGUGGAAAAAAUUACAAAGAGAAAAGGCCUCGACAUUUUGUUCUUUUGGAGCAAUGGUUCAAUGAGGAGGAGAAAAAGAAGAGGGAAAAGAAAGAGAGGGAAGAAAGGGAGAACCCGCAACAGCGCAGCGCAAGCAAGUCCAACCCAAAAGCGAACAGUGUGGCUUCUAGUCUGAAUGAUGAUUCUUGUUUUUGGGUGCACGUCGAGGAAGCACUUAUCUUGUGCGACGAACUAGCGAGUAAUCCACAUGCCAAGCAAAAGCUGAUCGAAUUUGAGUGUUACGUGCUGGAUACGCUCAAGAAUUUCGCAGUGACACCUGAUAUUUUCUUGCCGCAGAGCAGCUUCAUGCGAUGGUGGAACAAGUAUAAAGAGAUUGUGGGAAGUAGCUACUCCUCAGAACUCACAGAAGUCAUGAAGCGUCACACUUAUCGCAGGUAUGCCGAUGGGGUCUCAGUUCUUGCUGGUCUAUAAUCCAAGAUAAUUAAGUUUUAAGCAAUCAAUUAAAUCAGAUAAAGCAAGAUAAGUUUUGCUGUAUUCAUCACGAUCUUCAUAGAGAGAGACGUGCAGUACUUGCAGGACUUGUUGGUGCUACUACGUUUGAAUAUUUUUGUUUGUGGUUUCUUUUUGUUUUGGGCUCUAGCAUCUAGCUCUCUUGUAAGAAAAAUAAUGUGUGGGGGAGUUGUUUCAGUUAUAUUGUUGUAAUUUCCACUUCAUAAAAGUAAUGACGUUUGUUGUAUUUUGAUUUCACUAAGUUUGAGAACUACCCUAAUCAGCAUUUAUAAUAAGUUGAAAUUUACGUUUGUCGUGGUUUACGUUGUAUUACUCUUCAUAUACCUAUCAAGUACAAAAGCAGUAAAUACAUAUUUUAGCCAAGUGACUAAGUGUGGAACUGGGAUUCAAAGCUAAAGUAGAAUUACUUAUGUAUCCCAUAAUGUAUACCUUCUGAUGGCUUUUCACAUAGCACGCAACGUGUGAUUAAGGAACAAAAUGGUAUACACCUCGAGAUAGGUAAGUCCAUCAGCUAGUAAAUUAGCUUGAUGUAAUGUAGUCACGUGACGAGUAAGAACGAAGAAAUGAGUGUACAGCUUGGGACACAGUACAUAUAUAUAGUAAAACUACAUGUAUGUAUGCUUUGGGUGAGGCCGGCCAAGAGGGAUCUCCAUUUUUUUUUCAAAAAAUAGGAAUUAGUUGUGAGACUCACUCCACAUCGAGCUUCAACGGUCUGAACCGUUUAUUUAUUAAGAAGAAAUUAGGUUAUCAUCAUUCCUUUUGCUACUCCAUUAAUUAAAAUCCUAUUUUUUUUCAAUUUUUGAUCAAAGUCCUUGGGUAUUAAUAACAUCAUUAAUUAUUUCAAUAAUAAAAUAUUUUUUUAUUUCUUAAUAUAUUCAUUUAAUGUUAAAAAUGUUACAAUUAGUAUAUUUAUAUUUAUGACUAAAGUUUUUACCAUAUAUUUUUAGUUUUAGUUUGUACCCAUUUUUAAUUUGUAAUUCUUUUUUAAUUUGUACCAAUUUUCUUUUCAGUUUUAAUUUGUACCCAUAUAUUAAUUUCUUUUUGUGCCCAUAUUUUUUUAAAGUUUAUUUGUAUUUGUACCCAUAUAUUUUUUUUAUUUGUACUUUUUAUUUUGCUAAAUGUACCCAUGCUAAUUAUAUGUACCCAUUCAUGUAAAACUUUUUAAUCUUAAAAUGUACUCAUUCUUAAAUAUACCAAUUUGUUAUAUGUAAAAUGUACCUUUUUUAUAUAUAUAAAAUUUAUUCAAUUUUUUUCUAAUCUAUUUUAAACUUAUAUGGGUACAUUCUUUUUUCUUUGAUUUUAAAAUGUAUCCAUGUCAAGUUUAAUCGAAGAAAUUUACUAAUGUUAUUAAGCCUAAUAUCUUUUUUUUUUUUUAUGAUUUUGAAGAAUGUACCCAUGUUUUGAUACAAUAAAUUUUUUGGUUAAUUUUGAUGAAUGUACCCAUGUUUAUAUAUAUACACACACACAAUAGUAUAUUUAUAUUUUAAUAUUUUUAAUCCCACAAAUUAUGGUUUUUUUAUUUAAAAUCUCAUUUAUAUAAACAACUAAAAUUUCUAAUUUUUAAUUUAAAAAAUAUAGUAACAUACAUAGAAAUAAAUUAUCAUAUUAAUUUCAGGGACCUAGAUAAAAAAUUAAAAACUAAUAAGGUUUCAAUCAAAGAAUAUUCAUAAUUAAGGGCCGCAUCCAAAGUCUCCCUUUUUAAAUCUUGAUUUAUAGAUCAUUCUUGCAAAAAUUCAAGUCCGAAACCAUUUGCUAAUUUAAUUAUCACGAUAAAAUUUUAAUGUUUUAUUAGAACAAAACGUUCGUCAGCUCUUUGAACUCAAUUAGAUGCCUUAAAUAUUUUCGAUUUGGCUAAUAUUUUACAAAAUUAAUCUGGCACAUCCUGCCUCCACCAUAGCAAAAUAUUGUUCGCUUUGGGUCAUGCCCUCACGGAUUUGUUCUUGGGCUUCCACCCAAAACGCAUCAUGCUAAGAAGAGAUGAGCAUGUACAUAUAAAGCCAGGGACCAACCUUCACCCAACCGAUGUGGGAUCUUACAACCCACCCCCUUAGGGAGACCGAUAUCCUCGUCGGCACAUCCAAGCAGACGGUGAGUCUGGCUCUGAUUCCAAAUUGUCACAUCUCGCCUUCACCGUAACAAAAUAUUGUCUGCUUUGGGCCACCCUUCAUGGAUUUGUUCUUGGGCUUCCAUCCAAAACGUUUCAUGCUAGGAAGAGACGAGCAUGUACAUAUAAGGCCAAUGACCAACCUUCACCCCACCGAUAUGGGAUCUUACAUAAUCUAUGAAAUGAAACUUAAAAAAAAUACACAAUUCAAAUCUUUAAAAUUUGAUAUGGUGCCUUUCCCUUAAAAUGAGGUAGUGAUUUAGAUAGACCAUGUCAAUUUGCCAUGCCAAAUAUUAGGAAAGUAGAGUGUAGACAUGGGAAGAAAACCCAGCUUAGAUAUGGGACCCACAGGCACAUGCAGUUCUCAUCGAUCUCAAUAAUUUUCAACAAACCUUUAGAGCAAGUCCACCGGAGUGGUUUUUGCCCAGCACCCUGUCCAAAUAACAAGCUGAGGGACAGGGAAUUCACUUCAGCUCGUCGGGCUGCCUGGCACACAACCCAUGCCAGUCAACAAAUUAGCCCAUUUUUGACAGACCCAAGAGCCGGCCUAUUUGGCUGGCGCGUGGACUGCAUGCGCGCUUGGCAGCGAGUAGAAGACAAGCCGGCAGGCGCUGUUAGCCCACUUGUGCUGCAGCAACGUGGCUCGCUUAGAGCCGUUGGAUUUCCAACGGUAACAAAAAUUUAAAUUUUACUUUUAAACUGGACCUUUCGAUCACAGAUCAACGGUCCACGUUUUAUCCCCCUCCCCAAAAAAAGGGUCAAACGGUCAGAUUUAUAGCCGUUGGCCACGUGGCAGAUCAUGGGCUCUUGGAUUUGAAUAUUUUUCAAAUCCAACGGUCCAGAUUAAUUAACUACAUUAAAAUUAAUUAAAAAAAAUUAAAAAGUAUUUUUUUUCUAUAAAUACCUAACCCUCAUCUUCCACCUUACACCACAUUUCAAUAUUUUCUACACUUUCUACACUUUCUAUAAAUACCUAACCCUCAUCUUCCACCUUAGCGGAAAUCUAUUCACAAAAUAGUACGUUCGGAUAAUGACACGUGGCGUGACGAGAUUGGUUAAAAAUCCCAUCCGAAAUAAAACUAUUUUAUUUUUGUAUUCUUUUAGAAAAAAUUUAAAAAUAUUUUAAAUGGGCUGGGUGCCAGCGCAUUUUGUAGGGGUGGAGAUCGUUUGUGCCAGCGCAUUGUUUUAGGGGUGGAGAUGCAUUGGCCUAUUACUGUUCAUUGGAGUAUAUUACUGUUCACUGAAGUGGAUAAAUGGGCUGGGUGCUGGCACAAGGUCCUUAGGGGUGGACUUGCGCUUAUGUUUUGAUUCGAACAGUCUCCCACUUUCGAUUCUUCCAGUCCUACUGCAAUUGUCCUUUCGUGCUUUUUGCUCGGAGGGCAAGGAGCAAUUUUUACUCUUUACUUUAUAAGUUUAACCGCCCAUUAAAAAAAUAAUUUUUUUUUGAAAAUUAAAAUUGGUUUUCAGAAUUUUCUUUUCAAUUUUUGAUUUUCAAACGAAUCUUAUGAUGUUUAUAUGGGCAAAAUACAUUAACGUGUGCAUGAACAAAGAGGAGCACGUCGAAACCGAGAAAAAGUCUAAAUUUUUUUAUGUGGUUCAAUAUCUUAGUGAAUGAAGCGUUAGAUUUCUACCCAUGCAUUCUGGAUUUGAAAUCCUCCCAUUUUUUAAAUUAUUAUAAUAAUUUGAACAUCUCCUAAUAAUAUGGUACGAAUUUAUUGCUACCGUAAUAUUCCAAUCAAACAAAACAAUGACAUGUGUACAUUUUUCAAUACGUGACACUGACAUUGUAUAGUUAAAUUGAUCAAGGUGCUAUGUGGAAGAUGAUCAUCUCCAAAUCCAUUUUGUGGGAAUCCUAGGGAUUCUCACAUCAUAGCCAUUCAUCGUACAUCGUGCUUGUCAAUUUUCGUCGUGUACUAUUUGUGUUUAAUUUUAAAUAAAAAAAGUCAAAUGAUUUCUGACCACACACGAUGAAUGACUAAGAUAUGAGGAUCCUUAGGAUCCGGAUAGAAUCCAAAUCCGUACUACAUGACGAUAAAAUUGUUCUAUAUAAAUUGCUCUCUAAAAUUAGGUCGACAUCGUCCUUUUUUAAGUUGGAUACAACACACAAUUAGCCCUUGGAUUCGAAAAUACAAUUGGAUCGUCGUCAUUUAUACGAUUUAAUGGAACACUAGUCCAAAUUGGAGUGGGGCCCAUUUCCUUUCCAAUAAAAUAGCCACGUUGAUGUUGGACUGUUGGAUUAGCGACGUUGAUGAGCUUUUAGUGCGCUAUUUAGCUUUAACGUUGCAUAUGAUCCAUCACGUGACGAACAAUAUACGCGCCAGAUACAACGUUGUAACUUUUAACCUUUCUCCCCAUUAUCCACCUAAUUAUCUCAGCCUCCAUUUUAUGACAAUUUAAUAUCUACAAUCUUUUGCUAAUAGUUGGGGGGUUUUCUUAACUAAGAUGUUUGUGACUCUCUAAUGUAUACAAAAUUGUACAAGAUUAACCACAACCGUACAAUGAUGACUGAACUCUGAGUUCCCAAAGUGGACCACACUUAGGUGAUUCUGGAGAAAUUUAGGUGCAAUUGUCACACUGUCAAAUAAUGUUAAUCAGGUUUAAUAAUAAAAAAAUUAGUGUUGUCGAACCACAGCUAUACUGGAGGAAGAAAGUCCUCGUUAAAGGAGGGAAAAGUUGAUAUUGGUGUCACGCUCGACCUUGUCGAGGGGGAUGAAGGUGCGGUAGGUUUAAUACUCGAAUUAACCAAAGAGUGAUGUUAUCUGCACACCUUCUUUUAAGUCUCACACACUCCUUGUUAAUUUAUGUCACAUGAUCAUCUUUAAUUCAUUAGAUUCGAUGACCAAUUAUUGAGAGUUGUGUGUGAAAGAUAAAAAGAGGUUAGCAACACCCUUAACUAGAGGUGGUAAAUCAACAUGUUGGGUUGUUAAUGGUUACUCAUUAAGACUCAUUUAGUUUGAUUUCAGCUUACACCAUUAUCACCAUCACAAACCCUACCUCUAUAUUAUGAUGAUAUCAAAUUAAACGAGUCUUAACGGGUACUCAUUAACAACUAAAUGUGUUUAUCUCCACCUUUACACUUGUUGAUGCACAAAAUCGGGUCGAUCUUGGACCAACGUAAAUCCGACCGUGAAUCACAUAAACGCACAAGAACACAAAGAUAUAUCGUGGUUCACCUCAAGUUGAGGCUACGUCCACACUGGUGUUGAUUCCGUUUCACUAUGUAAAUGAAUGUUGAAUAUACAUGGAGGCUAUAGAGGCAGUGUUUACUCUCUUUGCUAUUCUGUUUGCUUUCUCGUUUCCCCUCUGUCUGUUUCCAUUUCUCUUUAAGUGAGUGUGAGGGAGCCAUUUUAUAAAAUAAGGGUUUCCUCCCAUCUUACAUGAAUCAUGGGCUAAGUAAUGAAGCCCAAAUACUGAGACCCAAUAUAUGGUACAACAUAAGUCCCCCAAGUCUUCAGUCAAGAGAGUCUUUUGGCUGGAGACUUCAAAUUCAAUCCAUGUGCAGGCUGAAAUGACUAGAUGUCGUUCAGAACUAGUACUCGACAUAAGACGGUGCUUAACAUGAAGCAAUAAUCAGCUAGAGGUAGCACACGUUGCGAGGCUGCUCGACUAGAGGCAAUGCUCGCGGCGAGGCGGUUGCUUGGCUGGAGGCGGUGCUGGUUACGAGACAGCUCAACUUGUGGCAUUCUUCAUUGCGAGUAUGCACUAAAUGUCAGUGUGUGCUCAUUAUGAGUUAACUUUCGACAUGACUCGGGUCCACUUGUCGAGUUCGCAUAUUGGGUCUAUGUGUCAAGUCCGCGGAUCAGGUCUAUAAGUCGGGUCUUUGAGUCGGGGCCAUCCGUAGGGUCUUUGAGUUGGGUCCGUAAGUCGAGGUUCGAGCUCAAAGGUGUCCAAUCUCGUAAGUGCCCGAAUGAAUGGGUGUCCAAGCACAUAGGUGUCCAAAUGAGCGAGCGUCUGAGCAAGUGGGUGUCUAAACGAGCGAGUGUCUAAGCAAGUGGGUGUCCGGUCAGACAAGAGAUCAUCGUUCGAACUAAAUCUUUGUCACCAUAAGCAUGUGGCUCAUCGAUCUAUAAGUUGAUCAGUAACAAUGUUGAUCAACGGAGUCCUGGCAAUAAAUAAUAGUAUAAGCAUGAAUGCAUAAUUAAUAAAUCAAUCACAGAGUUUGGCAAAAGUAUAAUGUCAUACUAUGCAAAUUGUGUGGUAAAUGACUUGUUUCAUAUGUGACAUAGUUAAUGACAUCACAGUAUCACUAGGCAAUGAAUAAAUAUUGCAUAAGUAAUUGCCUAAAUAUGUAGGUCAUUAGUGAAAUAUGAUAGAAAGCGUACUGAGCAUACGUGACUAUUGUAGCAUGUAAUCUUAAUAUAAUGACAAUGGGAAGACACACAAUAUAUUAUAUAAAUAUAUUUUCAUUCAAAUAAUGAGGAUAUCUAAUUUGGUCAGACCAUGCCACUAGCUAUAGUAAUUGUGGGGUGAUAAAAUAAUAAAAAUAAAGGUAUGUGGUAUAGUGGGUGUAAAGAAUAAAGAGGGUUUUAGGUGGAUUUGAUCAGUAGUCAUGUUGAAAAUAAAUAAAAUAUUUAAAUAAUGAAUUCAGUGUUCAUGAAUGAUUAAAGCUGGCAAGACUAAGGACAAGUGGUCUUGUAAUAAACAUUACAUAAUAAUAUAAAAUAUUAAUAGACAAUGACAUUGAGAAAACAUAAUGAUGGGUUUCUUUCAUGGCCGACAAUAUCAAAGGGGGAUAAUAAUAAAAUUAUUAUAAGCAAGCUUAUCUUUUUCCUGGUUUUCCCGUGGGUUUUUUUCAAUGGGAUAGUGGGUACAUGUCCUCGUGAAGAGCUACAAGGCACAUCAAAGCUUGGAGCUUGAAACCCAUUUGGGAUUUUGAGUUUGUGUAUAAGUAAAAGUGAAGCAGGAAAGCAAGAAGGUGAGCAGAAUGGUGAAGUUGGUGAACUUCGCUAUGGAUCCAACGGCUGAGAAACACUGAGGCUCUAUUUUCUCAUGCAGGUUUAGUUUGUAACAGUGAUGCUUAUGUUCUAAUUUAGCUCUCAAGAUCUGCACAGAAAAUGUAGAGAGAUAGAGAGAGAGAGAUGCGGUGGUGGCUAUGUUUCCAUCGUUGCUGCCGUGAUGGGGAGCUGGAACAGAAGACAUGGGUUUUGCAGUGAUUGUGCAGGUUUUUGGUUCUUAGGUUUCUACAGAUUCACGGUGGAGGUUGUGAGGUUUGAUGAAAAAAUGAAAGAGAACCAACAUAGCUUUUCGUGUCGUUUCCCACAGACGGCGCCAAAUGUUGAUGCACAAAAUCAGUGAGGACUGUGGUACAACAGAAAGUGUUAAGUUUGUGACCUUAGCUAGAUUGCUCCGGUCACUAGUGUGGAUAAGUAUGUAAAUGGAUAGAGACAAGGAAUCAAACUCAAGAUGUACGUGGUUCAUCCAGAUUCGCUACGUCCACGAAGUAUAUGAGUUCUCUUUAAUUGUGAAAGAUUUACACAAGUACAUAGGUUCAAGCUCUCAUUUAGUGAGUACUAGUGAAUGAUUUAGUACAAAUGACAUUAGGGAUUAUUAUGGGAGAAUGAUCUCCUUUUAUAGAAGAGAGUUUCUAGUUUUGUUCUGGCCUUGACACAUGUCAUGCUAUGAUUGGCCUUUGAUGUUGACACGUGUCGUCCUGUGAUUGGCCUCUUGGUGUUGACACGUGUUACGCUGUGAUUGGCCUCCUAGUUUGAGGGAAACUCUUCUGGGUCCUUGAUGGUAUAACGUUGACCAGUGCUUGGUAGUUUCGAGAUUGAUCAAGUAUGGUACAAACAACACUUAACCAAAUAAUGACGAAAGGUUGACAUUUCAUAUCGUCUUCUUUCAUAAGCUUGAUAGUCAUAAAAUAGAAAUAAGGAUCCUCUUCGAAUUAUCUUUGUGAGGAUCCCGAGGAUUCAUGAACUGUGUCCAUUCAUCGUACAUCGUGCAAUCAGAAAUCAUUUUAAAUUUUAUUAUUUAAAAUUGAACACAAACAGUAUUUAACAAAAACUGGCCGCAAGAUGUACGAUGAACGAACACGAUUCACAAAUUUUAGAAAUCCUCAUGAAGAGGCUUCAGAUUCAUAAAAUAUUGUAUAGAUAUGUGUUAGACCAAAAGCGAGGUAAUUACACUACACGACAAUGUGACAUUCAAAUUGAAAAAAUACUCAUUACUCUCAAGUCUAAAGAACACUUAGCUACACUCAAUCUGUAUCGUGACAUGGAUAAUGUUUUUCACACCUAUUUUUACUUUCUACAUACCUUGGUUAAGUUUUGGUCAUUGAUUUUUUUUUUCAAUUCAUAACAGAAAAUUAAGAAUGAUGGGUGAAAAGUAAAAAUAAAUAUGUGAAUAGCACUACCAUGUGACAAUCCUGAAAUUAAACUUUUCCACAUUGCAAUGCAUAAUUAGUCUUUUUAUGCAGUUAGAUAACUUUAGGGUUUACGUGUGAUUAAUUGAACUAUAACAUGAGGUGAUAAUGAAUUACUUAUCCACUUAACUCGUCAAUUAUACAACUAAUUUAAUACUUUACUUAAAUGCAAGUGACGUCUACAGUACUAGGCUCGGUCAAUGUAUGAUUGACUUUAUACAAUGUCACAGUCAUAGUGGUAUUGAAGGAAUUCGGAUCCUCACCGGAUUUUCUUUGUAAGGAGCUUGAAGAUCUGUGAAUCAUAUCCAUUCAUUGUAUAUCGUGCGGUCAUAAAUUAUUUUAAAUAUUUUUAUUUAAAAUUAAAUACAAACAGUAUCUGACAAAAACUAACUGCACAAUGUACGAUUAACGGACACGAUUUACAGAUUUCCAUUAACCUUACCGAAAUGAUCCGGAGAUGGACUCAGAUCCUCUCCGGAUCAUUUCCGUGGGGAUCCUUCUGACCUAUUAAUCUCAUCCGUUGAUACUAAUCCAACGGCCAAAUGAGUUUCGCGUCUUUUCUCUCUUUUCUCCCUUACGCUCUUCCCCUCAACCCUUCAUUCUCCCUCAAUUCGAAGCACCCGACCCGCUGCCACCAUGUUACGAACUGGAUUUGAACCAGCAUCCCAAAAUUCCCCGGAAAACUUCCAUUUAUAUUCUGAUCGUGACUAUGGUCUUCCAACCCAGCAACCCCCAACCUCCCCUGCUGCAAAUUGAAUAAAGUCCGAAUUCAAAGGACCUACAAAAAUAUCACUAAACGUACUGCAAAAAUUAAAGAUUCAGAGAUAAGAAAUACAAAAGUUAACAAGGAAUUUAAUUGGGGUGGGCUGGGGCUGAAGAAGAUUGAGAAGAUGCUGGUGUGGCGUUGGUGGGUGCUUCUAAGUGAGAGGAGAAAGAUGAAGAGUCGAGGGAAGAGAGAGAGAAAGAGGUGAAAAUAAUUUGGCCGUUGGAUUUGUCCCAACGGUUGAUAUCAAUCGGUCAAGAGGAUCCUUACGGAAAUGAUCCGGAGAGGAUCUGAGUCCUCCGGAGAUGACCAAGUUGGGUAUUGAAGGGCAGAAAAGUCGUCCUCACCCGCUCCAUAAAGUAGGGGUAUUUCCGUCAUUCCAUGUGCCUUGAUCCGAAGUUCAACCCAAAAUUUAAGUGGGCCGUCGAUUACUCCUAAGCACGAUUCCCGUGAUUGACGGUGGAUAGAGUGCCGCGUGGUUACUCCCUUCCCCACUCUGUCUACCCCCGGUAAAUCCAUCUCUUCUACGAGGGCACGAGACCUCACUCUCUAUUUCUCUCUCUCUGUCUUUCCUCCUCUGAGCUUCCAAAAUGCUCAUUUCUUCCUUCCGGCUACCGCCCGCCAGCUGAAGCAGUUGCAGAAGCAGCAGCAGCCACAGAGAGAAGCUGAGCAUGGCGGCAUUCCUCAUUGUCCUCCUCACAUCUCUCUACUAGCUCUCACCACCCUCCCCGGCGCCGAAUCCCGACUCUACACCAACUACUACCAAAAAUCGUGCUCGAGAUUCGCUCAAAUCGUCCAAGACACCGUCACAAAUAAGCAGAUCAUGAAUCCUACCACCGCCGCCGCCAUUCUCCGCCUCUUCUUCCACGACUGCCUCGCCAACGGCUGCGAGGCCUCCAUCCUCCUCUCCUCCACCCCCUUCAACAAGGCGAUGGAGAAGCUCGGCGUGUUAGGGAUUCAGACCGGAAGGCGGAGAGAGAUUAGGCACAGGUGUCGAUAUCAACCUCUCAAAGAACAGAGAAGCAGGAACUACUCGCUGUGCACCAGUUCAUAAAUUGGUCCAUCGCUGGUAUGCGUUUUAACUCUUCCCUAUUAGGUUAAUAUUUAUACUUCCAUUAUUUUCAGCAAAUGGUCUCUUGUCCCGGCUUACUUCCAUAUUUCUCGGUUUUGCUCCCACAUUUCUUGGAUUCCUGGGAUUGUAGGGAUCCCAAAAUCGUAACCGUUCAUCCUAUAUCUUCGGUUAAAUUUCGUUAAGUACUAUUUAUAUUUAAUUUUAAAUUUUAACGGUGCACUGGCCCUUGUACUCAUCUCGUGGGUACUAGUUGAAAACACACUUAUUUACUCAAGUAAGGUGAAAAGGUUGUCAAGUUCCUUUAGCGAUAUGGAGGAUAACGUCAUACUUGAUGGUAGAUACUCUCGGAUGUCUUUUGUGGCUUUAGAUGGUUUUAUUCAACGUUGCUUUCUUUGGAACGGGAAACUUUGCGAGUAUUGCAAGUUUUGGGAUUUCAUCAGUGUAUCGGUUCAUUACCGUCUUCAGUGUAAGUGAAGGUUGAACUUUCCUGGGCAUUAACGCUGCUAAGGCACACCUCUUGCGGUCUUCUGCAAUUUUUUGCCCUUUAUUCCUGCAACUGCUGAUUGCUCGUACAAAGUUCGAUUGAAAUUUAAUGAGAGUCAGAGCAAUGGGAUUUUCCAAGUGUUCCCCAAAGAUCUCACAACGUUCGAUUGAAAUUUUGGCACUCUUCUCACAUCUCUUGAUUAGUUGAUACGAUUUAACCAGUUAUCCCAUUUAGUUAUUCAUUGAUCGAUUUUGUAACUACAUUUAACCAGUACAUACUCCACUUUUGGCUGUCUGAAAUAUUUGAUUGGUCGUAGAUUAAAUGUUACUAUCUUCCAUCUCGAAACAAUAAAAGUUGGCCCUAUAUUGGGACAAAUUAUUGGCUGCGAACGACCAGACUACAUGGUUGUUUAAGAGCAUCUUUAACCGGAGUCCCAGCACUAUUUUUGAAGAAUCAUUUACGAACUUAAAGGGAAUAUACUUGUUCCCAAAAGAAAAUUAGUUCCAAUGGAGUGUCUUAUAGUAUAAUCUUUAAAUUUAGAUACUACGAAUUAAAAAAUCAUUGUUAAUUUCACAAUGAGAAACCUAAAAUAACUUUCACAACCGUUGUUUUCUCAUCAAACCAAAGAGAAAAGUAACGGGACCUGCCCCAUUGGAAGCUGCACAGUAUUUUAGAGUUCCAUCACGUGCUCACGUGCUAGGGACUUUCCCCGAAGAAAGAUGGUAAUCUACUAUAAAACCAAGAGUAAUGUUAUCUACAUACUUAUUUUACUUUUAAUACAUCCAUAUACAAUCCUUAAUUGUAAGGUAAUUUUGGCGGUCUCCGGGCAGUCCCUAUAUUAUAGGGAUUGGAGUUCCGAUCCACCGGAAGUCACCAAGUUCUUAACUUUAAGGAUAUAUGGUGGUAAGAACAAGUAUAGGAACAAACAUUGAAGAUGCUCUAAUUGCACGCACAAAACACCCAUUCUUGCCGAUGGUCCCACCCUGCGCCCCUUGCGCGCGUGCGAGCUUCCGAACUCAAGGAUUGCCCCUUGUAAUUGUAAAAGCAAAGAAUAGAAAAAGACGACCAUAUUGUACUGCUGGUAGGUGAACUGGGAAAGAAACAGAACGGUCGACGGCCAUACCCGAGCCCUCAGAUUCACUAGUUAGAUUACUUUGUAAAUUUCUUUGCAUCCUUCCGGAACGUUCAGUCGUUAAAAUCAGCAAUGUAUUAACCUGCUCCAAAUAUUCAUUGCAGGGAGCAAGAGGGAAUAAAUAAUGCAAGUGGGAAUAAUUAACCUGAAUUUUAACACGUAAACGUACAAAAGAAGACAAGGAAAAGCUUCGAGGUCUAGGGCCCUCCCUUUUUCUCCGAGAAACUUUCAGGAAUAAGUUGCGUGGACGACGACCUAGACUUUGCUGUGCAUCGUCGACUUGGGGGGAAGCUUCGUCGUGCGGCCUUUUGAUUGGUGAGACAAAGACGUCCAUAAUAUUUAAUAACGAUAGGAUUGAUUCGUAUUCUAUAUAAAGAGAGAUAUAUUGACCAUUCCGGUAUCCUCUUCUCUCCAUCUACUGUGUGUUUUAAGCAGAUCGGCAAAAGCUUGAAGAUGAACGACCGGUAAGUCAACUUCGACUUCAAACUUCUCCGAUCCUUGUUUUUCUUUGAAUCCUUUGCCAUGAUUUUUCUUGUGUUGUCUUGAUUGAGCGGAAAAUGGUCUGGAAUGGCUAAAAGUGUGUUUUUCAACUAUCAAAAGUUCUUAUGGUUGAAUCUGGCAAAAAAAACUUGCAAAACGCUUUUAGAUAGACGGUAUAAGCUCUUUUCGGAGAAGCAUGUGCUAUGUCCGCCCUCUACAAGCACUUCUAUAUUUUCAAGUGCUUUUUCGAAUAGCACUUGAGUAUUUAAUAAACAUUUCUAUAUGUUCAUAGUAAAAGAUAAGUGCUUAUGAGUAAAGUGAAUCUUACGAAAUACAUUAGCUUAAUAAUCGUCCUUAUAGUUUACCAAAUUGCAAUUUCAUUCUUACAAGUAUUUUGCUAAAGUGGCUUCGUUAGAAAUAGGUAGUAUUAUCUACGCAUUUAUUUUUACUUGUCAUACACGAGAGAGGAUCCUCGCCGGAUCCUCUUUGUGAGGAUUACGGGAAUCCUUCAAUCACAUCCGUUCAUCGUACAUCAUGCGGUCAGUUUUUGUUAGACGCAAAAGUUUCAACAGAAGUUUCAAGCAUGUUUGUUAUUAUAGUUGGAUGCUAUUUGCUUACACCCUCGAUUUAACUUUGCUUCAAUUUUUUGUUGGUGAUGACAGAAUUAGCAGUGCUGGGCUUGAACUAGCAAAUGUGCUGGUGACUUCUCCUCCCCUGCAGCAGUCAUGGGACGCGGUUCUUGAUCAGAUGCAAAAGCUCCCCCCAGCAGCUGAUCCGAACCAAAAAAUGGCCUUAGACAUUAAUGAAACCAAGCACUCAAACACCGCCAUCAUAUCUUUUCUUACUUCACCCGUCACGCUUCACGAUCAACAAACGAUGGUUUCAUCGUUGACUCUCAAGAAUGCAGAUUUUUCUCUCUUUGAGUUUUUGUGCGGCAAAAACAUCCCAAGUUUCUCCGUCAAUGAAUUGGCAAUCAAUUUCUUCAAAUUGAACCUGAAAAACCUCGAUAUUUGGCGAAAAAAGGUGCGUAUUAUUGUCUCUCUGGUAACUGAUAAUGUUUAAUCGUUUUGACAACUCUUAAUAGUGAGAAACAGUUAAAAAAUCAUAAUUAUAUUGCUAGAUUACUUUUCACUUAAUUAGUUUGGAUUCUUUGACAAACUGUUAAUGUUAACGAAAAACGCUUACAAAACCGAGUUUAAGUGUUUUUUCUUUUACUAUGAAAGAAGUUUGAGGAACUUAUUUGUAAAGACUUCUCCGAAUUGAUUAUAUAGAAAUUCAGUAAUUGACUAACUUUUAUGUAAUAUUUCAGCUGGUAGAAAUGUUAGAAAGCAGCAAAUCCUCACGGAUAGUUAUCACUGGACAUUCUUGGAGGUGCUGUGGCUACCCUUUUCACCUUAUGGCUGCUACAAAGCCUUGACUUGUUGAAAGCGAAACGCCUCCUUUGCAUCACUUUCGGUUCACCCUUGAUCGGUGACGAACAACUCCGACAAUGUGUGUUGGAAUUCUCAACAUGGAGUUCUUGCUUCUUGAAUGUAGCCUCCAUCAAUGAUCCUGUACCUAAAGUCUUCCUAACUUCGCAAGGGAGUGGUUAUAAGCCUUUCGGAACAUUCCUACUGUGCUCCUCUUCGGGUGGUUCUUGCAUUGAGGACGCUGAUGCCAUUUUGCAACUAUUGGUGGAAACCAGCUCUCAGUGUGUUCAAAAUCCAGUUCCGAAUUCAGGGACUCAGUUGUUUGAUUACGGAAAGAUUUUGAAUGAUCUCAAGACUAAGGCAUUGUCUAGAGAUGUCUUUGAGUUGGUUGAAGAGGAUAGAGUUCCACUUAAAGCUGGAAUUAAAACACAGUUGGCAGCAAUAUUAGGAGUUCUCAGCUCACAGGUAUCAAACUUUCAACACAAAUAUCUAAUUUGAUGAUGAUUUAGGGAAAUGGUUUCCGCACAAACCUGUUUAUUUCCAUCUCUUGAUUCUUCUUUGAUUUAUUUAAUCCAAAGACUGGAAAUAAACACGGGUGUGCAAGGAGAGAAUAUGAGUUUGCGGAAAUCACAUCCCACGUUUACUUCUAGUUACUAACUUUUCUCUCAACUCCUUUUGUAAAAGUCAUUGCAGCAGCAACAACCCAACAUAGAAUUCGAGAGUCUGGUGAAAAAGAUGGUCGCUCACGAACGUAAACUAGCGGUCCAGAAGACGAUGGUUUACAGUUCUUUCCUGAAAUUGAAUGAGAAUAAAAAGUACAUGGCCAACAUGGAAUGGUACAAGAAGGAGUCCAAAGACAUGGAAAUUGGAUACUAUGACAGGUACAGAAACAAGCGUUACCGGAGUGACGUUAUUGCCGAAGAGUUCACGAAGAAGCUCUCAAUUUAUUGGCAUGACACGGUUACAGAAGCUGAAAGCAAGCCCCAGAAAGAAGGAGCCACAAUGCGUAUCCGUUUUCUUUAUGGUGGAACGAAUUACAGAAGGAUGAUCGAACCGCUUCACAUUGCUGAGUACUACAAGGAAGGUGGAAAAAAUUACAAAGAGAAAAGGCCUCGACAUUUCGUUCUUUUGGAGCAAUGGUUCGAUGAAGAGGAGAAAAAGAAGAAGGAAAAGAGAGAGAGGGAAGAAAGGGAGAACCCGCAACCACGCAGCGCAAGCAAGUCCAACUCAAAAGCGACGAGUGUGGCUACAAGUCUGAAUGAUGAUUCUUGUUUUUGGGUGCACGUCGAGGAAGCGCUUAUCUUGUGCAACGAACUAGCGAGGAAUCCAGAUGGCAGGCAAAAGCUGAUCGAAUUUGAGCGUUACGUGCUGGAUACGCUCAAGAAUUUCGCAGUGACACCUGAUAUUUUCUUGCCGCAAAGCAGCUUCAUGCAAUGGUGGAACAAGUAUAAAGAUAUUGUGGGAAGUAGCUACUCCUCGGAACUCACAGACGUCAUGAGGCGUCGCACUUAUCGCAAUUAUGCAGAUGGGGUCUCGGUUCUUGCUGGUCUAUAAGCCAAGAUAAUUAAGUUUUAAGCAAGCAAUUAAAUCAGAUAAAGCAAGAUUAGUUUUGCUGUAUCGCUCAUGAUCUUCACAGAGAGACGGGCAGUACUUGUUGGUGCUACUACGUUUCAAUAUUUUUGUUUGUGGUUUCUUUUUGUUUUGGGCUCGAGCAUCUAUAAGAAAAAUAAUGUGUGGGGGUAUUGUUUCAAUUAUAAUGUUGUAAUUUCCACUUCAUAAAAGUAAUGACGCUCGUUGUAUUUUGAUUUUACUAAGUGUGAUAAGUACUACCUAAUUAGUAUUUGUAAUAAAGUGAGACUUACUUUUGUCGUGGUUUGUGUUGUAUUAAUCUUCAUAUGAACCUAUAAAGUACAAAAGCUUAAUCUUGUAAAUACAUAUUCUAGCAAUGUGAAGAGUGGAAUUAGGAUUCAAUGCUAAAGCAAAAUACUUACGUAUCCCAUUGUGUAUACCCUUCUAGUGCGUUUUCACACAGCACGCAACGUAUGAUAAGGGUGCGUUUGGUACGUGGGACGGGACGGGACGGAACGGGACGAGGCGUUCCGUCCCGCGUUUAGUGCGCCAAAAAUGGAUGGAACGGGCUGUUCCACGGGACAGGUUUUGGGUGUUUUUGCGUUCCACCUCCCCCCUGGAACGGGUUUGUUCCACGUCUGUGGAACACAAUGUUUUACCAUUUUAAGACAAAUAUACCCCAUGUCUUUUUCAAAAAUGACACCUUCGUUCCGUCCUGUCCCGUCCCGUCCCGUCCCGUUCCGUCCCGUCCCGUCCCGUCCCGUCCCGUCCCGUCUGCGUACCAAACGCACCCUAAAGGAACAAAAAGGUAUACACCUCGAGACAAGUAAGUCCCAUGUGCUAGUAAAUUAGCUUGGAUGUAUGGCUGGUUUGGUAUUGCUGUGCUUUGAAAAAAAGCUGCUAUAAGAAUAAGCGGCUGUGAAAUAAAUCAGCAGAGCGUUUGGUAAACUUUUUUGUAAAAGUGCUUUUGAAAAAAAAAGCAGUUUGAUAGUUGGUCUUUUCAUUAAAGGAGCACUGUAGUUCCGUGUGCUUUGAAAAAAAGCCAGUUUUCCAAAGCUGCAAAUAGCAGCUUCAGCUUUUUCUUUUGAUUUCAGCUUAUUCUCACAGCAGCUUCCAAAAUAAGCCAUUUUUUUUCAGUUUACCAAACACCUAAAACCCUCACAACUUUUUUUCAUAGGUGCUUUUUUUUAAGCACCUCACUCCCAAACUAGGUCGUAAUGUAGUCACGGGAAGCGUAAGAAACAAAGAAAGGAGUGUACAGCCUGGGACAAAGCACAUAUAUAUUUUACAACUACAUGUAUGUACUCUAUGGGUGAGGCAUGGCCUAAGGGGAAGGAUCUCCAUUUUUUUUCAAAAAAUAGGAAUUAGUUGUGAGACUCACUCCACAUCGAACUUCAACGAUCCGAAUCAUCUAUUUUGUAAAUUUUGAUUCAUAGAUCAUUCUUACAAAAAUUCAAGUCCGAAACUAAUUAUCACGAUAAAAUUUGAAUGUUUUAUUAGAACAAAAUGUUCGUCAAUUUUUUUGAAUUCAAUUAUAUGCCUGUUUGGAUCCAAAUUUACACCAUUGGCCCAUGCAAUCAAGGCCUUUGAGUGAGCAUAGCUCCCAACCAUCGGAUGGAAAAGUGAAGAUAAUUUUGUUAUUGUUGAAGGAUAAUAUUAUGAUUUUUAUCAUAAUAAUUAUCUUUUAAUAUGGAUUAUCUGCAUCUUCUUAAACCAGAUAAAUAGGAUGCGAAUUAUAUCCUAAGCAAGCAGUACAGUUCGAAUUGAUUUGGGAUGUUUGACGACACUUGGAAGCUAAAAAUGAAUUUGAAAUUCAUUUGAUCAGGAUGCAUGCAUGGAUGGGUUUAAAGGUGAUGGAAUUAUAUGAUGUGAUAAGCCUAGGAUUUGAUGGUCUUGGAUAAUGAUGAGAUAAGAAACUUAGGUAGGCUAGGCCUUUUUUUGCAUGGUGAUGGGCGUUGUCAUAUGAGUUUGGAGUGAUAAGAAUUGAUGAUGUGAGCACAGUAUGAUUGUCGUGUGAAAGGGCACUUCGAGAUUUCAAAGGGACACCUGUUGUUCCUCUUGUAAAAGUCCACAAGCAUAAGAAGACUAGGGAGAUUUUUGCCGAAAUAUAUUAAAGAUAAUAUCAGUUAUUGUUUUUUAGAGUAUAUUCGGAAAGAGAGAUUAUAUUCACACACCUCAAAUUACUUCUCCCACACCUUUUUAUUUUUUUAAUAUUUUCUACACACCACUAACACUUGAUAAAAAAAUAUUAAAAAAUUAAAAGGGUGUGGGAGAAGUAAUUUGAGGUGUGUGAAUAUAAUCUCCCAUUCGGAAAAGGCCUCUAUUGGAUUGGCGAUCAAGAAGACUUGCUAUAAAUACAGAGGCAGUGGCAACAUGAAAAGUCCUCAUCCAAUUCAACACACAAACUGCCAUGUACAAACUCUUGCUUUACGUGAAACCUUUCAACAACCUUGAGAUUUUAUUUUCUUUUUCCCGCUGACACAUCUUAAAUUUUAAUAAACAGCAUUGUGAAGGCAACCGGUGAACAUCUUCAGUUUGGAUAAACAGCACUGUGCCAUAGAACCAUUCGACCGCGAAGCACCUUCAGUUUGGAUAAACAGCAUUGCUCCGAGACCGACUGGUUACCUAUCCAAGUCUCGGUCAAGAAGGAUUUUCGAGUCCUUAUUGGCAGAUGUCAUCUCAUCAGCCUUCUCGACGAAGUGAGAUGUUACCAAGUUACUACAUUUAGCACCCUGAGAGCCGAAUUUGAUAUUGAACUUCGCAGAACUAGCAGCCCUUCAGGCUCUAGAACCCGAAGGCCGAGACGUGUUCCUUUCUCGGCCACAGUCGUGAGAUUUAGAAGUCAACAACACGCCCAACGCAACAUCAACUCAUUUUACUCACCGGUCGAGCUCGGCCGUCGAGUUGGCACGCCCUACACACAACCGAAGAACGUAGUUAGCUUUUUAAUUGUUCGGCCUGUGCGCCACGUAGGCUUGAUAGUUUUUAGGUUGGAGAAAUUAGGUUCACAUCCUUCUUUUUGCUACUCCAUUGAUUAAAAUCCUAUUCAUUUUCAAUUUUUGAUCAAGGUCAUUGGGUAUUAAUAACAUCAUUAAUCAUUUGAAUAAUAAAAUAUUUUUAUUUUUAAAUAUAUUCCUUUAGUGUUAAAAAUGUUAAAAUUAGUAUAUUUAUGUUUAUGGCUAAAUUUUUUAUCAUAUAUUUUUAUUUUUAGUUUGUACCUCUUUUUAAUUUGUACCCAAUUUUCUUUUCAUUUUUAAUUUGUACCCAUAUAUUAGUUUCUUUAUGUGCCCAUAUUUUUUUAAAGUUUUAUUUGUAUUUGUACCCAUGUCUAUAACGUCACGUGACAUUGUAUAUUUAAUCAAUUAUAGAAAAACUACAUAUGGUAUAUUUAUGUUUUAUGCCUAAACUUUGUAUCAUAUAUUUAUAUUUUUAGUUUGUACCCACUUUUAAUUUGCAACAUUUUUUUAAAUUUGUAGUAUUUUCUUUUUAGUUUUAUUUUGUACCCAUGUAUUAAUUUCUUUUAGUGCCUAUAUUAUUUAAAAAUUCAUUUGUACUCGUAAUUUUUUAAUCUUUUAUAUGUACCCUAAUUUAUUUAUAAUGUACCCAUUCUUCUUUAUUAAUGUACCACUUUGUUAUAUGUGAAAUGUACCAAUUUUUUUAACAUUAUGGAUACAUUCUUUUGCCAUUUAUUAUUUCUUAUUUUUACAUAGUUUUUAUCCAUUUAUUCAAGGGAGUUUUAACGAAAAGCCCACGGUACUGUUCACUUUAACGAAAAACCACAUUUUUACACUAAAAAGUCAAACCUGCUACUAUUCACUUUAGCCUUUAUUUUGUCCUUAUCGUUAAAACUCAAAGUUUUUAAGCCCUUUUCAUUAAUUUUCCUUUUAUUUUCAAUCAAAAUGUUUGAAUUUUUUUAUUGUAACUGUUUCUAAUAGUAUUAUAAUGAGGGAUUUUAAAUUUAUAGGAUUAUAAAUCUCAUAAAAUAUCAAACAAUUAAUGUCAAAACUAUAAAAAUAUAAAUAUUAAUUGUAAUAUAAUGAGGUGUACAAAAUCAAAGGACUUUGAUCAAACUUUGAAUACCAUUAUGGUUUUAGUCAAAGAAUAUUAAGGAUUAGAGACUACAUCCAAAGUAUCCCUUUUAGGUUCAAUAAUGCCUUAAAUAUUUUUUAAGGAAAACUAAUAAAAAAGGCUUGAAAACUUUGAGUUUUAAUGAUAAGGACAAAAUAAAGGGUAAAGUGAAUAGUACCAGGAUUGACUUUUUAGUGUAAAAAUAUGAUUUUUCGUUAAAGUGAACAGUACCAAAUGCUUUUCGUUAAAGUUCCCUAUUUUUUAUUUGACUAAUAUUUUACAAAAUUAAUCAAUGAAAAGCAACUUCAAAAAUACACGAUUCAAAUCGUUAAAAUUUAAUGUGGUGCCCUUCCCUUAAAAUGACGUGGUGAUUUAGAUAGACACUAGAAAUUAGGCUCGUGCGUUGCCACAGGAACCAACUUUUUCAGACGUAAUCGAAUGAAUAAAUUCAACACAAUUAUGAACAAACAAAGGGAUACAUAAGUGAAUGAAAUCGAUAAAAUAAGCAAUUUUGCUUUUAUAUACAUUCAAGUGAGUUGACAUAUAAACACAUUGUACAAUGAGUGGGAAGAAACUGAACGUCUUUGAUUAGAAAGAGAUGGUUUCAAAAAAAGUUCUGUUUCCUUAAGAAACAAAAGAAACAUUUAGUUCACAUAUAUAAUGUGUCAUGCAGUGUAGACGGCCAUUUCAACAGAUAAUUAAAAAUAGAGAGUGUUGAGGACUUGUUCAAGUAGUUAAUUUUGUAACCACAACUUUUCAAAGGCAAAAAUAAGCAGAAGGUUUGUUUCCAUACCAAACUGAAGAAACAGAUGCAAGCUACAGUUUACACAUAUUUUGCCCCUGCAGUUAAGACAGCAAAAUAUAUGCCCUGCAAUCUACGUACCUCACUUGUGCAACAUAUGCCUUACACUGGAAAAACAUCAAAAAUUGAAUACAAAUUUGUAAAUCAUGGACAGAUUUUGUUUUACAUUUUUAUAAUCAAAUCAAACGGCAAUGUAGCACGUAAAAUUACAAACUUGAAGCAACCAGAGAGCAAAAAUUAAGAUGUAGAGAUAUCCUCAAACUUGCAACAUAUUGUAUGGAAGCUAACCGUAGAGGUUUGUGAAGCAAACUGCGGCAUGAGUUGCAGUCAAUUGAACAAAAAUAUAGUAGUUCAACUAAAAAAUGCAUAUAAACACAUUUAAGUUAAAUAAAUUCAACACAAUUAUGAAAGGAUACAUGAGUGAAUGAGAUCGAUAAGAUAAGCAGUUUUGCUUUUAUAUACAUUCAAGUGAGCUAGCAUACAAACACAUUGUACAAUGAGUGGGAAGAAACUGAACGUCUUUGAUUAGAAAUAUAUGGUUUCCAAAAUAGUUUUGUUUCCUUAAAAAACAGAAGAAACAUGUAGUUCACACAAAUGUGUCCUGUAGUGUAGGCAACCAUUUCAAUAGGUAAUGCCAAGAAAAGGAAUUAAAAUAUUAGGCAUAUAAAUGCAAGCUUACAGAAACUUUGUUUUUGUACACUUUCUUCUCCCUUGAAUGACAGUUUGUUUCUUAUCUAGAAAAAUAAAAUGAGCAGGUCAAUGAUACUCACAUGUGCAAAAUGCUAAUCCUAUGGUCUAAAGCUAACUGAGUUUUUAAAUGUAAAAUCUCUAAUUUCACUGCAUUUGGAUUGAUCACAGUUCGUGACUUGUUAAACUUGAUAUCUCCUUGUACAUUUUGGGAACUUGACGGCUUAAAGAAGUGCUCAUAAAAGCAAAUUACACAAUAUCUACUAAAAAACUUAGAGAAGGGACUCAAUUAGUCAACAACCAGGUGCCUCACACUUAAAUAUUAAAGACCAAAGGGAGAAAACGAAGCCAAACUCUUAAAAAUUCGUUGGCACACAUGCUUCAUUGGCUCAAUUGAAUGUAUAAUACAAUAAUUCGAACAAUAGCUCAGAAACAGUGCUAAAAUUCCAUUAGCACUAAUCACACACUGUUGGAACAGAGAUCCUAGCAAAGCUACACCAAUUAAAUGACAGACUAAAAACCACAAACAGGAAAAAAGGAAAAACAGAGUUAUCAGACAGCAUGAUUCAAAUAUAAUUUUAUUAGGGUUUGUAAAAGCACAACUCAUCCAGCACUUCGAACACACCGUGGGAUUUAAAGACCAUAGAGUAACAUGUUGGAUUCAUCAUUUUUUGAGAAGAGACAAACCUUUCAUUUAAGCUAACACAAAUUACAUAUCAAAGGAUAAGGAGUACGCUCUAAGAACAGACGGAAAUAAAACAAACACAUAACAGACAUAACUAUCAUACCAAGAAGCCCCCAGACACUUACUAUUGGCUUUGAUAUCAGUUUUACAAUCUGCCUUUGAUAUCAAUUCCACAAUUGGGAAUUGAUAUCAAUCUUAAACCCCACAGGCUAUUCAUGUUUGAGAAGGCAUCAGACAUGCCCGUCAAAAUCAUUACCAAGCUUAGAUACUUUCAGAGUACGUGAAGUGGGGUCACUUACAUUCUGUAUCAAAAAACCUGACAGACGCCAAUGAAAUUUUAAUAGCGGAAUUGAACCUAAUUCAUUAACUGUGGUUCGUGCAUGGUCAUGAUGAUAUGAGGUGAAUCGCUCUCUAAAAUCAGAUCUCGAAGAACCCUAACAGAAGCCAACACCUUGGAUGAAUGAAUCACAUUUAAGUUGAAUAAAUUCAACACAAUGCAUAAAUUGCCUUAAGAUCUGCUAAACUGAAGUAACAAAAUGACAAAACUAUACAAAUUACAGACCAGAAACAAAGCUAUAGCUGACUGACCUUAUGCCAAAUCCCUCGAGCUCUUUUUCAAUUAGACGCUUGUGAGUUAUUGGCUUUAUUGCAUCAUGAACAAUUAAAAUGCAAUUGCAUGUCCUAGCAGUGCUGAUAACCAAAAUAUUGUUAGGACAACAAACGGUAUCAAAGUUUUCAUCUGAAGCUAUUUUGACUUUAUGCACACUGAGAUGAAGAACCAAUAUAUAUUAAUUAUACCUUUGGGAUAUUUGGGUGGUCAAGCUUAUGCCAAACAUCAACCUCUUGCUGAAACGACGCCCGAAGAGCAGCAGUUUCGGCUAUCCUCCCCCCAAUCCAAUAUCUUUAAUUUUUCACUAUAAUAUCAAGAAUACAUAAAGCCAUGAGAACAAUAUUGAUAAGAAAAAUACAGGAUAACCUACGGUUAGGGGUUCAUUAUUCAAUCAAAUAACACCGUUUUCUUACACUCAAUAAAAAAAUUUAUGUAUUUCUAAAUUUGUACAUGCAGUCACAUGUAUUCUUUUUCUCCAAUGAAAUAAACCCCCCCCCCCCGGAGUCUAAUAACGAUGAAAGUGAUUGACCCCAAGAACCCCAAACAUGCCAGUCCUAAGAACACAAAGCAUAUAAACAGUUAACCACACACUUAAGCACAUUUGCGUCUGCACAGUGGCCAUUUAUUAGGUCAUAAUACACAUGAGUAAACCCUAAAACACAAAAAUCAAAGUUACAAACUUUCAAUACAAACCAAUCGAGAAUGAAUUUAUACCACACAUUCUGGCAUAAAAGAAAAGAAAAAUCAAUACUAAUAUUUGACUGCAAGCAGAUCUUGUGGGACUACUACAAAUAAUAUAAACCAGUAGAUUUCCGUAAUAAAAUAUAACCACAGAUGAAUGAAGGGCUAUUAACUUAAUAUUUAGAAAUAACCGUCAGUCCCUAGCUAUUAUGCAUGCCACUAAUGAAAGGAGGGAUCACCAUUUAUUAAGGUACCUGGAAUUCACCAAUACCAGGAUAUUUCCAACCAUGCUGUUCAGGAUAAGAAGGAUAUUGUAGCUCUCCACACGGACCUAAUCCAACUUCAAUUUCUGAUAUUAUUCCUUCCUCAAAAAACUCAUCAAAUUCAACUCUGAAGCUCCUCAAGUGGUCGAAGUAAACCUGCAUUGGUUCCAUUAUAAUAUAACAAAAUAGAAACUCUCAGCAUUAAACAAUAAGAAUGCAUAGGGUCUGAUUCUUAGAGCAUACAAAUUCUUAGAAAUAUAGAACAUAUAAGUUGGAAUAGGUUUAGCAAUAGUUUCUUUUAAAACAUGAGUGGAACAUGUAAAAAAAGACAAAUAUAGGAAAGGAGAUAUGACAAUCCAUAGAAAUAAAAGACCAACAUAACUAAGUAAUUCUAGAAUACUAUACCUCAACAGCAGUGCGGCCUCUUAAAACCCGCUCUUUAUCAAUUCCCCAAGUGAGACAUUCAGUGUUGCGUUUCCCUUCUUUAUUAGUAAAAUAUAUAUAUCAGGAUUCUUUUGGCCCAUUUCUGUCACCCAGUGAGAAAGAGGGAUAAGUACAUCAUCCCCGACAUCGCCUCCACACUCGUGGAAUGACAUCACGACCUAAACCAAUAUACAGCAAGACAAUGCACACCAUAUCCAACAUGCAUAUUCAAAGAAAAUAUGUAGCGCAGAAAAUCUCUCUUUUUUGAAAUGAGUUUUAACUGAGUCUCACAAACUAAUUUACAAAAAAGAAAGCUAUCAGUGGGUUACUUUUCAGCAAUCUACUCAAGACUAUUUUUCCCCUUACCUAAGACAACAGUCAGAAUAAACUUAAUUUAUAUACAAUGCAAGCCAAAAGAAGCAACAAUUGGUAUUCAACCUCACUUCCAGAAAAUUACUCAAAAGACAAUGAGAUAAAGAGUUUCAAAAAUAUGAUGCAUAUUUCAAUCGAGCCUCAUUAACAACAGAAAAUACAGCAGCACAAAGCAUAACAGAAACUUGGAAAUGGAAAAGGAACCUGCAAUUAGGCUUCUUCAGAAGCAAAAAUGGCAUUAUGGAACCCAGAAUAAGAGAGAAUCACACAGAGAGAGAGAGAGAGUGGAGUGAGCCGGUCUGAGCAAAAAUAAAGAUACUGAGCUUUAGAAAGUAGGAAAGGAUGUUGUUACCAUCCACUAAUUGUAUUGUUCCAUUCAGUAAAGCAACCAAUGCAGUUCUAGGCUCAUAGUUCCUAUUCACAUUAACCCAAGAAAAUUGAGCUUCAAACUGAAAUUUAAAAUCAACAUUGACCCAAAAUACAACUUCAAAUCAAAUUUAAAAUUUAUAUUGGCCCAAGAAAUAAAAUUUGUUCCGCUUUAAACUCAGAAAUUCGAAACCAACCCAUCACCUAGAAAAGUACCAAACAGCAAAAGAAAAGGAGGAGAAAGGAAGACACCACAUUUUGCAACCCUUUGAGUUUUUGAAGUCUAAAUCUUUCCUCUUCUGCUUCUUCAAUGCUUAAAAUUUUCACUCACUGACUAUUGUCUGCCAUUCUUCUUUACUCGGCUUUAAAAAUAAUUUCCAUAGAAUAAAUAAGCAACAAUUUUCUAUGAAUAAAAAGAAGUGGUAAGAAUUCUCCCUCAGAAAAUUAAAAAAAAAAAAAAGAAUGCUCACAAUUUUGUCUAGCAAAUACUCCAGCUUUGUAUCUUCCUAACAUAGGAUUUAUUUUUUUCCUGUAAGAAAGAUUAUUCUCUUGUUGCCCGUUGGAAUAUAAGGGAAUGUAUAUUAUUUUCACAUUUGAAAAUAACUCAAGUUUCUUACAAUAAAAAGUAAAAUUGUUUGCAGUGUGUCUUUGAGUACUAACAAUGCGAACCCCAAGUGACAAUGCAAUUUCCCGUUCUAAAGCGAAGGAAAAAGAAACGAAAAAUUGAAGAAACCAGCCUUUUUGUUCAGUGUGAUGGCUGACAAUUUAUCUAAUGGGAAUAUGAAUAAUUGUGUUACUCGAUACAAAGUGCAAAUAAAAAUUGAAGAAAGCACUUGAAGAUGAAAUGAAGUGUGGGUAAAAAAAAAACAAAUGAAAAUUGAAAUUGAGAUAUAUGAACAAUGAAAAUUGAAAUUGAGAUAUAUGAACAUUCAUUCUUAGAGAUGGAAGGGGAGAGAACAAAAGAUACUAAUCAGCAUAUUGCCAACAUAUAUCUCAGAAACCACCAGAUUAGUUGUAAGGUAGAUUGUUAAAGCUGUUUGAGAAACUUUCGUCUACAAUAUUAUGAAGGAAUGCAAACUAAGUAAUUGGUAGCUGAACGAAAUUUUGGCAAGGAUUUACAAAGUAACUCUAUGAAAUUCAUCAAUAAAUCAUCUAUACAGACGCACAUGUUCCCAGUCACAAUGAUUAAAAUCUAAAACAUUUAUUCAUGCAUUCGUGCAAGGGAAAGAAUGGACUCAGCCUGGUUUCUAUCAAGUGUCAACAAAAGAACACAAUUCAAGUUGCACAAAGCCAAAUUAAAUGCAUAAGUGACAUAAAAAUUGAACAUACCGCAUGAUAGUCCUCAAUCUUCAUCAACCGUGAAUCAUGAAUUAUGGAUAUUAUUCAGACCACGAAUGUGUAAACCCUCCAAUUACGGUUGGUAAUCGGGUUCAAAAUAAUGUUUGUAGAAGUGUGCUGAUUCCUUGAAUAAAAAGCAGAGUCUGCACUAUUCUCACUUUGUCACCCUAAUCAAUUAGGUCAAAUAAGGAGCACAUUCAUCAUCCAUAUCAGUCCAUAUAAAAUACGCAAACAUUAAAAAAAAAAUUCAAUCUUGACCAUUUUUGCUAUGCGAAACUGACGCUUAAUUCUUUUUUAAGAAAUUAGCAUAAUAGUACACAAAAUUUACUUGAAUUUAGUCUCCAAUUGAACAAAGGCCACAACGAUAUAAGAAUUGAAUGAAAGUGGUAUACAAAAUCAACUCACAUCAUCACCACCCAUCAAAGGAACACGGAAUGUGGGGAUCAUCACAGCAGUUCCCAAGGCCAAAAUGUAGUGCUGGAAACCCAAAGCAAUUGUUUCCCCUGUUUUCAAAACAAAAAAUGAGAACCAAAUUGGGGAAAUUUUAAAACCCAACAAAAAAGUCGAGAUUUGGGUUUGAGAAAAGAUGAAUAAUAAAUGAGAAAAGGUGAAAAAUAAACAUACCCUAAGAGGGAUUUGAGUCAAUGCCUUACCCUAAGCCUUGGAGUUGGUCCAUUGCUGGAUGGCUUAUCUCUUCUGGUUUUGGAGCUGCCAUGGCUUCUGCCCAAUUCAAAACCCUUAAUCUGCCUCUAAAUCCAAAAGGGUUUUUACCAAAUGAAUCAAAGAACACUGAUUUGAGAGAGAAAUUCUCCCUGGGUUUUGUUCAAUGAAUACAAAAAUGGAAGUUAUUUUUACCAAUUUAGAGAGAGAUUAGAGUCUAUGACAAUGAAAAGCACAAAAGAGAAAAAGCUAAUGGAUCAUGGAGGUAAAAGAGGACUGAUGACCACACAACCCUCUCUCUUUCUGUCCCUCGAAUUGCACUCUCCCUGUCACCGCGGCCCAUUCCCUCAGAACCCUACCCCCAAAGUCCUGCUCAACCCUCUAGUACGAAUUGGACCUUUGCUCCACCCGAAAAAUAUUUAAAAUGUUCUUAAAUGACUACUUUCAACUAAAAGAGUAGAACCAAAUCAAAACCAACAACUUUCAACUAAAUUGCACAAAAGAGUCAAAAUUUAAUUGCUAUACAGAACUAUCGGUUCAAUCGAAAACAAUCAGAAUUCGAGACCCUACCUCCUCCAUUCUCUGAGAGCGAAGCCCUCCUCAGGCAGCAUCUCCGACGGCGCUGGCAAAAUGGGAUCGUCGGACCCGCCAAACCCUCCAUCAAAACCCUGACCGUUCGAUUCGGGCCUCAAGUAUCCCUACUGGUCGAAGCAGUAGCAGAAGAAGAAGAUGAGGAGGAAGACGAUGGACGUUCAUAAUCGAAGAGUUCGAAGGGAUUUACCUUUGGAUUCUUCGGCUUUCAGAUGGAGUUUGCUUGUGUGUGGGCCUGCAACUUCGUUUGCAGGCGUGAUGUUUCCAUGGAAUUUCUCUCGGGUUUACAUAGACAACAAAGCGAGAGAGAAAGCUUUUGCAGAAGGGGAAUUGUGUUUUGUCGAGGUUUUGAGUUGUAGGUAGAGCUAACGAAGGGAGAUGAGAGAGAGAAGUGGAGCGGCUAGGGUUUGAGUAUGGAAGAGAUGAAAAAUGGAGAGAGCACCUGUUUUGGCUGAAGCACGGCUCACCGAACGAAGAAUAAAGAGGCGGUGGCAAUUUUGUAAAUAACUCUCAAUUCACUGUUCAUUUCUACAGUGCCAUUUCCCAUGCUUUCUUUAGACUAAAGUAAUUGUCAAUUUGCCAUGCCAAAUAUUAGAAAAGUAGAGUGUGGACACGGGAAGAAAACCCAGCUUAGAUAUGGGACCCACAUGCACAUGCAAAUGCAAAUGCAGUUGUCAUCAAUCUCAAUAAUUUUCAACAAACCUUUAUGUUUUGAUUCAAACAGUUUCCCACUUUCGUGCUUUUUGCUUGGUGGGCAAGGAGCAGUUUUUUCUCUUUACUUUAUGAGUUUAACUGCCCAUUAUUAUUAUUAUUAUUAUUAUUUCGAAAAUUAAAAUUGGUUUCAGAAUUUUCUUUUCAAUUUUUGGUUUUCAAAUGAAUCUUAUAAUGUUUAUACGGUCAAAAUACAUUAACGUGUGCAUGAACAAGGAGGAGCACGUCUAAAUCGAGAAAAAAUCUAAAUUUUUGUAUGUGGUUCAAUAUUUUAAUGAAUAGAGUAUUAGGUUUUUACCUAUGCGUUCCGUGUUCAAAACUCUCCAAUUUUCUAAAUUAUUGUAAUAAUUUCGAACAUCCCUUAAUAAUAUGGUACAAAUUUAUAGCUACCGUAAUGUUCCAAUCAAACAAACAAUGACAUGUUUACAUUUUUCAAUACGUGACAUUAUAUAGUUAAAUUGAUCACGGUGCUACGCGGAAGAGGAUCCUCUCUGGAUCCAUUUUGUGGGGAUCCUAGGGAUCCCUACAUCAUAAUCGUUCAUCGUACAUUAUGUGAUCAGUUUUCGUCAAGUACUAUUUGUGUUUUAAUUUUAAAUAGAAAAAAGUCAAAUGAUUUUUAACCGCAUAAUACACGAUGAAUGAAAGAUAUGAAGAUCCGUAAGAUCCCUACAAUUUGGAUUUAGAUAGAAUUCAAAUCCGUGCUACAUGACAACAAAACCAUUAUAUAUAAAUUGCUCUCUAAAAUUAACUCGACAUCGUCCUUUUUUAAGUCAGGUAUAGCACACAAUUAGCCCCUGGAUUUGAAAAUACAACUGGAUCACCGCCAUUUAUACGAUUUAAUGGAACGCUAGUCCGAGUUGGACGGGGCCCAUUUCCUUCCUAAUAAAACAGCCAAGUUGAUGUUGGACUGUUGGAUUGGUGAUAGUGAUGAGCUUUCAGCGCGCUGUUUAACUUUAACGCUGCAUGAUCCAUCACACGACGGACAAUAUAUGUGCCAGAUACAACGUUGCACCUUUUAACCUUUCUACCCAGUAUCCACCUAAUUAUCUCAGCCUCCAUUUAAUGUCAAUUUAAUAUCUACAAUCUUUUGCUAAUAGUUGGGGGGUUUUCUUAACUAAGUUAUCUGCGACUCUAUAAUGUGUACAAAACUGUGCAGGAUUAACCACAAUCGUACAAUGAUGACUGAACUCUGAGAAAUAUUCCCAAAUGGACCACACUUAGGUGAUUCUGGACAAAUCUAUGUGUGAUUGUCACACUGUCAAAUAAUUUUAAUCAGAUUUAAAAAAGAUUUCGUGUUGUUGAACCAAAGUUGUAAGAGACUAGAGGAAGUCAGUCCUCGCUAAGGGAAGGAAAGGUUGAUAUUGGUGUCACGCUCGACCUUGUCGAGGGGGAUGAAGGUGCGGUCGAUUCAAUACUCGAAUUAACCAAAGAGUGAUAUUGUCUACACACCUUCUUUUAAGUAUCACACACUCUUUGUUAAUUUAUGUCAUAUGAUCAUCUUUAAUUCAUUCGAUUCGAUGACAAAAAAUUAAGAGUUGUGUGUGAAAGGUAAAAAGAGGUUAGCAACACUCUUAACUAGAGGUGGCAAAUCAACACGUUGGGUUGUUAAUGGGUACUCAUUAAGACUCAUUUAGUUUGAUUUCACCUUACACCAUUAUCACCAUUACAAACCCCACCUUUAUAUUAUGAUGAUAUCAAAUUAAACGAGUCUUAACGGGCACUCAUUAACAACUCAAUGUGUUGAUCUCCACCUUUACCCUUAACCAAAUAAUGACGAAAGUUUGACAUUUCAUAUCGUCUUCUCUCAUAAGCCUGAUAGUCAUAAAAUAGGAAUAAGGAUCAUCUCCGGAUCCUCUUUGGGAGGAUCCCGAUGAUCCGUGUAUCGUGUCUAUUUAUUGUACAUCAUGCAGUCAGAAAUCAUUUUAAAUUUUAUUAUUUAAAAUUGAACACAAACAGUAUUUGACAAAAACUAAUCACACGAGGUACGAUGAACGGACACGAUUCACGGAUUCCUGGAAUCCCCACAAAGAGGAUCCAGAUUCAUAAAAUAUGGUAUAGAGUUAGACCAAAAGCGACAUAAUUACACCACAUGGCAAUGUGACAUUCAAACCAAAAAAUACUCAUUACUCUCAAGUUUAAAGAACACUUAGCUACACUCAAUAUGUACCGUGAUAUGGAUAAUGUUAUUAACACCUAGUUUUACUUUCUACAUACCUGGUUAAGUUUUGGCUAUUGAUUUUUUUUUUUCAAUUCAUUCGAUGAGAUAACCAAAAAUUAAGAAGAGUGUGUAAAAACUAAAAAUAAGUAUGUGAAUAGCACUACCAUGUGACAAUCCUGAAAUUGAACCUUUUCACAUUGCAAUGCAUAAUCUUUUUUAUGCAGUUAGAUAACUUUAGGGUUUAGGUGUGAUUAAUUGAACUAUAACAUGAAGUGAUAAUAAAUUACUUUCCCACUUAACUCGUCAAUUAUAUAACUAAUUUAAUACUUUACUUAAUUACAAGUGAUGUCUACACUACUAGGUUCGGUCCACGUAUGAUUGACUUUAUACAAUGUCACAGUCAUAGUGGUAUUGAAGAAAUCUGAAUCUGGCGGGAUCUUCUUUAUCAGAUUCUCGGAGAUUCGUGAAUUAUAUUCGUUCAUCGUAUAUCGUGCGGUUAGAAAUUAUUUUAAAUAUUUUUAUUUAAAAUUAAAUACAAACAGUACUUGAUAAUUGAUCACAUAAUAUACGAUAAACGUACACGAUUUACAUAUCUCUAAAAUUCUCGCACCAUCUGGAGAGGACCCAGUUGGGUAUUCAAGGGCAGAAAAGUCGUCCUCCUCACUCACCUCCAUAAGAUAGGGGCAUUUCCGUCAUUCCAUGUGCCUUGAUCCGAAGUUCAACCCAAAAUUUAAGUGGGCCGUCGAUUACUCCUAAGCACGAUUCCCGUGAUUGACGGUGGAUAGAGUGCCGCGUGGUCACUCCCCCCCGGUAAAUCCAUCUCUUCUGCUACGAGACCUCACUCUCUAUUUCUCUCUCUCUCUCUCUCUCUCUCUGUCUUCCUCCUCCUCCGAGCUUCCAAAAAGCUCAUUUCUUCCUUCGAGCCACCGCCCGCCAGUUGAAGCAGUUGCAGAAGCAGCAGCAGCCGCAGAGAGAAGCUAAGCAUGGCGGCAUUCCUCAUUGUCCUCCUCACAUCUCUACUAGCUCUCACCACUCUCCCCGCCGCCGAAUCCCGACUCUACACCAACUACUACCAAAAAUCGUGCCCGAGAUUCGCCCAAAUCGUCCAAGACACCGUCACCAAUAAGCAGAUCAUGAAUCCCACCACCGCCGCCGCCACUCCCCGCCUCUUCUUCCACGACUGCCUCGCCAACGGCUGCGACGCCUCCAUCCUCCUCUCCUCCACCCCCUUCAACAAGGCGAAGGAGAAGCUCGGCGUGUUAGGGAUUCAGACCGGAAGGCGGGGAGAGAUUAGGCACAGGUGUCGAUAUCAACCUCUCAUAGAACAGAGAAGCAGGAACUACUCGCUGUGCACCAGAUCAUAAAUUGGUCCAUCCCUAGUAUGCGUUUUAACUCUUCCCUAUUAGGUUAAUAUUUAUACUUCCAUUAUUUAAGCGAAUGGUCUCUUGUUCCGGCUUACUUCCACAUUUCUCGGUUUUGCUCCCACAUUUCUUGGAUUCCUGGGAUCGUAGAGAUCGUAACCAUUAUUCAUACAUCCGUUUUCGUUAAUUACUAUUUAUAUUUAAUUUUAAAUUUUAAAUUUUAAAAUAAUUUUUAAUAUAUGAUGAACGGUUACGAUCGUGCGGGAUCGCUACGAUCCUUUUCCACAUCUCUUGGAUACUAGUUGAAAACACACUUAUUUACUCAAGUAAGGUGAAAAGGUUGUCAAGUAUCAUACUUGAUGGUAUAUACUUACAGCUGUCCGACGUGAGAAUUCCGUUAAUCUUUGUAAGUCCUUUCUCUUUUCUUUUUGGAAAAUAUUUAUCGGAUUGUUGGAGAAAUUUACUGAUAUACAUUGCCCAGUCUUUUUGAUAAUUUUACUGCUCAUCAGAACAAUCUUUUCUAGCAAACCCUACUGACAGUUUUUAUCGUUAUUAGGUCCGGAAUACAGGAAGCCGGAUGGAAAUUGGUAACAGCAUCAGCCACUUCGGAAUCAUGAGUGCUCAAGUUGUCUUUGUGCUUUUGCUCUUUGCUCUCACGAACAUAUAUACGAAAGAUAUCGACAUUGGUUCAGUUGACCGCUCCUCUCGGAAAGCAAUGUAGGUCGUGUUAAAUUGGGACUUUGGGCAUCAAAAUAAGUCACCAGUGUUCAGGAAAAGCGAGCAUUAACGCCGCUAAGGCGCACCUCUUGCGGUCUUCUGCAGUUUUUUGCCCUUUAUUCCUGCAACUGCUGAUUGCUCGUACAAAGUUCGAUUGAAAUUUAAUGAGAGUCAGAGCAAUGGGAUUUUCCAAGUGUUCCCCAAAGAUCGCACAACGUUCGAUUGAAAUUUUGGCACUCUCCGCACGUCUUGAUUAGUUGAUACGAUUUAACGAGUUAUCCCGUUUAGAUAUUCAUUGAUCAAUUUUGUAACUAAAUUUAACAGUACAAACUCCUUUUUUGGCUGUCUGAAAUAUUUGAUUGAUCAAUUAAAUGUUACUAUCUUCCAUCUGGAAACAAUAAAAGUCGGCCCUCUAUUGGGAGAAAUUUUUGGCCGCGAACGACCAUACCACAUGGCUGUCUAAAAGCAUUUUUAACCGGAGUCCCAUCAUUAUUUUUGAAGACUCAUUUACGAACUUAAAGGGAAUAUGCUUGUUCCUAAAAGAAAAUUAGUUCCAAUGAGAGUGUCUUAUAAUAUAAUCAUUAAAUUUAGGGACUACAAGUUAAAAAAUCAUUGUUAAUUUCAUAGCGGUUGAUCUAAAUGGUAAAAAAACAAAAUAAAACCCCAAAAAUACUUUCAUACCUCUUGUUUUCUGAGCAACAGACGAGAAAAGUAACGCCAUCUGCCCCAUUGGAAGCUGGUAUUCUAGAAUCCCAUCACGUGCUGGGAACUUCACCUGAAGAAAGUAGGGAUUCUAACAUAAAACUAAGAAUAAUGCUAUCUACAUACACAUCCCUACGCAAUCCUUAAUUGUAAGGUAAUUUUUGGGAUCUCCGGACAGUCCCCUAUAUUAUAGGGACUGGAGUUCCAAUCCACUGAAAGUCACCAAGUUCUUAACUUUAAAACAUACGGUGGUACGAACCAAGUAUAAGGACAAAUAUUGGAGAUGCUCUAAUUCAACGAACAAAACGCCCAUUCUUGCCGAUGGUCCCACCCUUCGCCCCUUGCUUGCGUGCGAGCGUCCGAACUCAAGGAUUGCCCCUUGUAUUUGUGCGCGCGUGCGAGCCCUCAGAUUCACUCGUUAUAUUCCUUUGUAAAUUUCUUUGCAUCCUUCCGUGAACGUUCAGUUGUUAAAAUCAGCAAUGUAUUAACCUCCUCCGAAUAUUCGUUGCAGGGAGCAAGAGGGAAUAAAUAAUGCAAGUGGGAAUAAUUAACCUGAAUUUCAGGAAGCCGAGGAAAAGCACCGAGGCAAAGGUCUAGGGCCCUCCCUUUUCCUCCGAGAAACUUUCAGGAACAAGUUGCGUUGACGACGACCUAGACUUUGCUGUGCAUCGUCGACUUGGUGGGAAGUUUCGUCGUGGGGCCUUUUGAUUGGUGAGACAAAGAAGUCCAUAGUAUUAAUAAUAACAAUAGGAUUGAUUCGUAUUCUAUAUAAAGAGAGACAUUGAUCACAUUCUGGUAUCCUCUUCUCUCCAUCUACUGUGUGUUUUAAGCAGAUCGGCAAAAGCUUGAAGAUGAACGACCAGUAAGUCAACUUCGACUUCAAACUCCUCCGAUCCUUGUUUUUCUUUGAAUCCUUUGCCAUGAUUUUUCUUGUGUUGUCUUGAUUAAGCGAAAAAUGGUCUGGAAUGGCUAAAAGUGUGUUUUUCAACUAUCAAAAGUUCUUGCGGUUAAAUCUGGCAAAAAAAACUUGCAAAACGCUUUUAGAUAGACGGUAUAAGCUCUUUUCGGAGAAGCAUGUGCUAUGUCCGCCUUCUACAAGCACUUCUAUAUUUUCAAGUGCUUUUUCGAAUGGCACUUGAGUAUUUAAUAAACAUUUCCAUAUGUUCAUGGUAAAAGAUAAGUGCUUAUGAGUAAAGUGAAUCUUACGAAAUACAAUAGCAUAAUAAUCGUCCUUAAAGUUUACCAAAGUGCAAUUUCAUUCUUACAAGUAUUUUGCUAAAGUGGCUUUGUUAGAAAUAGGUAGCAUUAUUCACGUACUUAUUUUUACUAACAAGAGAGGAUCCUUGCUGUGAGGAUCCUAGUCGGAUCCUCUUUGUGAGGAUAUGGAAAUCCUCCAAUCACAUUUGUUUAUCGUAUAUCGUGCGAUCGGUUUUUGUAAGAUAUUGUUUAUAUUCAAUUUUAAAUAAAAAUAAAUUAUAAUGAUUUCUGACCGCACGAUGUACGAUGAACAUAUAUGAUUGGAGGAUCCGCCCAGGAUCCUCUUGAGACCUACACCUCUUAAUUUUAGGGUCGGUAGAUCAAAUGAAGUGAGGAAGAUCAAUGAACAAUAAUUAACAAGGGUGUGUAAGAGGUGAAUAUGGAUUGGGGAAUAACACUUUGCUAGAAAUAUGAUGAAAUUUCUAUAGAAAACUAGCUUGUUUGAAACAUUUUUAAACCAAUUCUUAGUAAAAAUGCAAGUAAAGUUUAGAAAAGUACUUGCAGUGCUUCCUUGCAAAAAGCAAAUAGUUUUUUUAAGGAAACACUUCAAAUGUUUCUUUAUAAGUGCUUUUGAAAUCUAAAAAUAUUGUCACUAAAAAACGCUUUUAAUUAUUUUAAAAGUACUUUUAAACAUGUAAUUAAAAAUACUUUUGGUGAUUAGACUGACAUUUUCAGCUAUUUCAACAGAAGUUUCAAGCAUGUUUGCUAUUAUAGUUGGAUGCUAUUUGCUUACACCCUCCAUUUAACUUUGCUUCAAUUUUUUGUUGGUGAUCAUGACAGAAUUAGCACUGCUGGGCUUGAACUAGCAAAUGAGCUGGUGACUUCUCCUCCCCUUCACCAGUCAUGGGACGCGGUUCUUGAUCAGAUGCAAAAGCUCCCCCCAGCAGCUGAUCCGAACCAAAAAAUGGCCUUAGACAUUAGUGAAACCAAGCACUCAAACACCACCAUCAUAUCUUUUCUUACUUCACCAGUCACACUUCACGAUCAACAAACGAUGGUUUCGUCGUUGACUCUCAAGAACGCAGAUUUUUCUCUCUUUGAGUUUUUGUGCGGCAAAAACAUCCCAAGUUUCUCCGUCAAUGAAUUGGCAAUCAACUUCUUCAAAUUGAACCUCACAAACCUCGAUAUUUGGCGAAAAAAGGUGCAUAUUAUUGUCUCUCUGAUAACUGAUAAUGUUUAACCAUUUUGACGACUUUUAAUGUUAGUAAGAAACAGUUAAAAAUCAUAUUUAUAUUGCUAGAUUACUUUUCACUUAAUUAGUUUGGAUUCUUUGACAAACUGUUAAUGUUAACGAAAAACUCUUACAAAACCGAGUUUAAGUGUUUUUUCUUUUACUAUGAAAGAAGUUUGAGGAACUUAUUUGUAAAGACUUCUCCAAAUUGAUUAUAUAGAAAUUCAGUAAUUGACUAACUUUUAUGUAAUAUUUCAGCUGGUAGAAAUGUUAGAAAGCAGCAAAUCCUCACGGAUAGUUAUCACUGGACAUUCUUUUGGAGGUGCUGUGGCUACCCUUUUCACCUUAUGGCUGCUACAAAGCCUUGACUUGUUGAAAGCGAAACGCCUCCUUUGCAUCACUUUCGGUUCACCCUUGAUCGGUGACGAACAACUCCGACAAUGUGUGUUGGAAUUCUCAACAUGGAGUUUCUUGCUUCUUGAAUGUAGCCUCCAUCAAUGAUCCUGUACCUAAAGUCUUCCUAACUUCGCAAGGGAGUGGUUAUAAGCCUUUCGGAACAUUCCUACUGUGCUCCUCUUCGGGUGGUUCUUGCAUUGAGGACGCUGAUGCCAUUUUGCAACUAUUGGUGGAAACCAGCUCUCAGUGUGUUCAAAAUCCAGUUCCGAAUUCAGGGACUCAGUUGUUUGAUUACGGAAAGAUUUUGAAUGAUCUCAAGACUAAGGCAUUGUCUAGAGAUGUCUUUGAGUUGGUUGAAGAGGAUAGAGUUCCACUUAAAGCUGGAAUUAAAACACAGUUGGCAGCAAUAUUAGGAGUUCUCAGCUCACAGGUAUCAAACUUUCAACACAAAUAUCUGAUUUGAUGAUGAUUUAGGGAAAUGGUUUCCACACAAACCUGUUUAUUUCCAUCUUUUGAUUCUCCUUUGAUUUAUUUAAUCCAAAGACUAGAAAUAAACACAGGUGUGCAAGGGGAGAAUAUGAGUCUGCGGAAAUCACAUCCCAUGUUUACUUCUAGCUACUAACUUUUCUCUCAACUCCUUUUGUAAAAGUCAUUGCAGCAGCAACAAACCAACAUAGAAUUCGAAAGUCUGAUAAAAAAGAUGGUCACUCACGAACGUAAACUAGCGAUCCAGAAGACGAAGGUUUACAGUUCUUUUUUGAAAUUGAAUGAGAUUAAAAAGUACAUGGCCAACAUUGAAUGGUACAAGAAGGAGUCCAAAGACAUGGGAAUUGGAUACUAUGACAAGUACAGAAACAAGCGUUACACGAGUGACAUUACUGCCGAAGAGUACAAGAAGAAGCUCUUUAAUUAUUGGCAUGACAUGGUUAUGGAAGCUGCGAACAAGCCCCAGACAGAAGGAACCGCAAUGCGUGUCCGUUUUCUUUUUGCUGGAACGAAUUACAGAAGGAUGAUCGAACCGCUUCACAUUGCUGAGUACUACAAGGAAGGUGGAAAAAAUUACGUAGGGGAAAGGCCUCCACAUUUCGUUCUUUUGGAGCAAUGGUUCAAGGAAGACGAGAAAAAGAAGAAGGAAAAGAGAGAGAGGGAAGAAAGGGAGAACCCGCAACUGCGCAGCGCAAGCAAGUCCAACUCAAAAGCAAAGAGUGUGGUUUCUAGUCUGAAUGAUGAUUCUUGUUUUUGGGUGCACGUCGAGGAAGCGCUUAUCUUGUGCGACGAACUAGCAAGUAAUCCAGAUGCCAAGCAAAAGCUGAUCGAAUUUGAGCAUUACGUGCUGGAUACACUCGAGAAUUUCGCAGUGACACCUGAUAUUUUCUUGGCGCAGAGCAGCUUCAUGCAAUGGUGGAACAAGUAUAAAGGGAUUGUGGGAAGUAGCUACUCCUCAAAACUCACGGACGUCAUGAGGCGUCGCACUUAUCUCAAGUAUGCGGAUGGGGUCUCGGUUCUUGCUGGUCUAUAAGCCAAGAUAAUUGAGUUUUAAGCAAGCAAUUAAAUCAGAUAAAGCAAGAUUAGUUUUGCUGUAUCGCUCAUGAUCUUCAUGGAGAAAGACGGGCUGUACUUGCCGGACUUCUUGGUGCUACUGCAUUUGAAUGUUUUUGCUACUACAUGGAGAAAGACCAGCUUUCUUGUGAGACAAAUAAUGUGUGGGGGUAUUGUUUCAACUAUAACGUUGUAAUUUCCGCUUCAUAAAAGUAACGACGCUCGUUGUAUUUUGAUUUUCCCAAGUGUGAGUGCUACCUAAUCAGUAUUUGUAAUAAAUUGAGACUUACAUUUGUUGUAGUUUGCGUUGUAUUAAUCUUCAUAUGAACUUAUAAAGUACACAAGCUUAAUCUAGUAAAUACAUAUUUUAGCCAAGUGACUAAGCGUGGAACUGGAAUUCAAAGCUAAUGUAGAAAUACUUACGUAUCCCAUAGUGUUAUACCUUCUGAAUUCUGAUGCUUUUUUCACAUAGCACGCAACGUGUGAUUAAGAAACAAAAUGGUAUACACCUCGAGAUAGGUAAGUCCAUCUCUUAGUAAAUUAGUUUGAUGUAAUGUAGUCAUGUGACGCGUAAGAAACGAAGAAAUGAGCGUACAGCUUGGGACACAUUACAUAUAUAUUUUACAACUACAUGUAUGUAUGCUCUGGAUGAGGCAGACCCUAAGGGAGGGAUCUCCAUUUUUUUCAAAAAAUAUGAAUUAGUUUUGGAACCUACUCCAUAUCGAACUUUAACGAUCUUAAUCGUCUAUUUUGUAAAUCUCAAUUCAUAGAUCAUUCUUGCAAAAAUUCAAUUAGUCCGAAACCAUUUGCCUAUUUAAUUAUUAGAUUAAAAUU
rnacentral:lncRNA from 1 species